rnacentral:sRNA from 1 species
AGAUUCUUGUUUGCCAUAUCUCAAUAAAGGAGAAUCAAAAUGUGUGCAUUUUAAAUUGCUACCUAAAUUGCCAGAACCUAUGACUAUCAAAGUGAAAGCUCAGUUUGGAUUUAGUAACAAAACCUACGAGUGUGAUUUAGUCCCAGUGACAUUUGAACUUAGAGAUUUUCUACAGCCUUUUCCAUGGGACUUGUUCAACAUUGACAACAAAGAAACAUUUUUUUGCCACCACUGGGAGAACUACACU